GACAGAGGGGGCAAGCGUUGCUCGGAAUCACUGGGCGUAAAGGGUGCGUAGGCGGCGCGGUAAGUCGGGUGUGAAAUCUCGGAGCUUAACUCCGAAACUGCAUUCGAUACUGCCGUGCUUGAGGACUGGAGAGGAGACUGGAAUUUACGGUGUAGCAGUGAAAUGCGUAGAGAUCGUAAGGAAGACCAGUGGCGAAGGCGGGUCUCUGGACAGUUCCUGACACUGAGGCACGAAGGCCAGGGGAGCAAACGGG
rnacentral:rRNA from 1 species